rnacentral:rRNA from 1 species
GUCUCAAAGAUUAAGCCAUGCUUGUCUAAGUAUAAGCACUCUAUACUGUGAAACUGCGAAUGGCUCAUUAAAUCAGUUAUCGUUUAUUUGAUAGUACCUUACUACAUGGAUACCUGUGGUAAUUCUAGAGCUAAUACAUGCUAAAAACCCCGACUUCGGGAGGGGUGUAUUUAUUAGAUAAAAAACCAAUGCCCCUCGGGGCUCCUUGGUGAAUCAUAAUAACUUAACGAAUCGCAUGGCCUUGCGCCGGCGAUGGUUCAUUCAAAUUUCUGCCCUAUCAACUUUCGAUGGUAGGAUAGUGGCCUACCAUGGUGGCAACGGGUAACGGGGAAUUAGGGUUCGAUUCCGGAGAGGGAGCCUGAGAAACGGCUACCACAUCCAAGGAAGGCAGCAGGCGCGCAAAUUACCCACUCCCGGCACGGUGAGGUAGUGACGAAAAAUAGCAAUCCAGGACUCUUUGGAGGCCCUGUAAUUGGAAUGAGUGGACUUUAAAUCCUUUGACGAGGAGCCAUUGGAGGGCAAGUCUGGUG